rnacentral:rRNA from 1 species
AGGCUUAACACAUGCAAGUCGAGGGGCAGCAUUUCAGCUUUCUUGCAAACUGGAGAUGGCGACCGGCGCACGGGUGAGUAACACGUAUCCAACCUGCCGAUAACUCGGGGAUAGCCUUUCGAAAGAAAGAUUAAUACCCGAUGGCAUAAUUAGACCGCAUGGUCUUAUUAUUAAAGAAUUUCGGUUAUCGAUGGGGAUGCGUUCCAUUAGGCAGUUGGUGAGGUAACGGCUCACCAAACCUUCGAUGGAUAGGGGUUCUGAGAGGAAGGUCCCCCACAUUGGAACUGAGACACGGUCCAAACUCCUACGGGAGGCAGCAGUGAGGAAUAUUGGUCAAUGGGCGCAGGCCUGAACCAGCCAAGUAGCGUGAAGGAUGACUGCCCUAUGGGUUGUAAACUUCUUUUAUAUGGGAAUAAAGUUUUCCACGUGUGGAAUUUUGUAUGUACCAUAUGAAUAAGGAUCGGCUAACUCCGUGCCAGCAGCCGCGGUAAUACGGAGGAUCCGAGCGUUAUCCGGAUUUAUUGGGUUUAAAGGGGGCGUAGGUGGACAGUUAAGUCAGUUGUGAAAGUUUGCGGCUCAACCGUAAAAUUGCAGUUGAUACUGGCUGUCUUGAGUACAGUAGAGGUGGGCGGAAUUCGUGGUGUAGCGGUGAAAUGCUUAGAUAUCACGAAGAACUCCGAUUGCGAAGGCAGCUCACUGGACUGCAACUGACACUGAUGCUCGAAAGUGUGGGUAUCAAACAGGAUUAGAUACCCUGGUAGUCCACACAGUAAACGAUGAAUACUCGCUGUUUGCGAUAUACAGUAAGCGGCCAAGCGAAAGCAUUAAGUAUUCCACCUGGGGAGUACGCCGGCAACGGUGAAACUCAAAGGAAUUGACGGGGGCCCGCACAAGCGGAGGAACAUGUGGUUUAAUUCGAUGAUACGCGAGGAACCUUACCCGGGCUUAAAUUGCAUUUGAAUAAUCUGGAAACAGGUUAGCCGCAAGGCAAAUGUGAAGGUGCUGCAUGGUUGUCGUCAGCUCGUGCCGUGAGGUGUCGGCUUAAGUGCCAUAACGAGCGCAACCCUUAUCUUUAGUUACUAACAGGUCAUGCUGAGGACUCUAGAGAGACUGCCGUCGUAAGAUGUGAGGAAGGUGGGGAUGACGUCAAAUCAGCACGGCCCUUACGUCCGGGGCUACACACGUGUUACAAUGGGGGGUACAGAAGGCAGCUACCUGGUGACAGGAUGCUAAUCCCAAAAGCCUCUCUCAGUUCGGAUCGAAGUCUGCAACCCGACUUCGUGAAGCUGGAUUCGCUAGUAAUCGCGCAUCAGCCAUGGCGCGGUGAAUACGUUCCCGGGCCUUGUACACACCGCCCGUCAAGCCAUGAAAGCCGGGGGUACCUGAAGUACGUAAGCGCAAGGAGCGUCCUAGGGUAAAACUGGU